AUUGAACGCUGGCGGCAGGCCUAACACAUGCAAGUCGAGCGGAUGAAGGGAGCUUGCUCCUGGAUUCAGCGGCGGACGGGUGAGUAAUGCCUAGGAAUCUGCCUGGUAGUGGGGGUUACGGUCGGGAACGGGGGCCUAAUCCGGCAUCGGCCCUGGGGGGGAAGGGGGGGGUUCUUGGGCCUCACGCCAUUAGGUGAGGCCAGGUCGGAUUAGCUAGUUGGGGGGGUAAAGGCCUACCAAGGCGACGAUCCGUAACUGGUCUGAGAGGAUGAUCAGUCACACUGGAACUGAGACACGGUCCAGACUCCUACGGGAGGCAGCAGUGGGGAAUAUUGGACAAUGGGCGAAAGCCUGAUCCAGCCAUGCCGCGUGUGUGAAGAAGGUCUUCGGAUUGUAAAGCACUUUAAGUUGGGAGGAAGGGCAGUAAGUUAAUACCUUGCUGUUUUGACGUUACCAACAGAAUAAGCACCGGCUAACUUCGUG
rnacentral:rRNA from 1 species